ensembl:snRNA U6 U6 spliceosomal RNA
GUGCUCAAUUCACAGCACAUAUACUAAAAUUGGAACAAUACGGAGAUUAGCAUGGCCUCUGCACAAGGAUGACACACAAAUUUGUUGAAUAUUCUAUAUUUUU